UACGGGGGGGAGCAAGCGUUGUUCGGAUUUACUGGGCGUAAAGGGCGCGUAGGCGGCGUGACAAGUCACUUGUGAAAUCUCCGGGCUUAACUCGGAACGGUCAAGUGAUACUGUCGUGCUAGAGUACAGAAGGGGCAACUGGAAUUCUCGGUGUAGCGGUGAAAUGCGUAGAUAUCGAGAGGAACACCUGCGGCGAAGGCGGGUUGCUGGGCUGAUACCGACGCUGAGGCACGAAAGCUAGGGGAGCAAACAGG
rnacentral:rRNA from 1 species